CCUCCACCAGGCUGCCCUUCUCUGGCUUCUUCCUCCUGAUCCAAGUUCUCUACAUUCAUCUCUCUGCCUCCAGGACUGAUCAUGAGCCAUCAGCUCCUCUGGGGCCAGCUAUAGGACAACAGAACUCUCACCAAAGGACCAGACACAGUGGGCACCAUGGGACAGUGUCGGUCAGCCAACGCAGAGGAUGCUCAGGAAUUCAGUGAUGUGGAGAGGGCCAUUGAGACCCUCAUCAAGAACUUCCACCAGUACUCUGUGGAGGGUGGGAAGGACACACUGACCCCCUCUGAGCUACAGGACCUGGUCACCCAGCAGCUGCCCCACCUCAUGCCGAGCAACUGUGGCCUGGAAGAGAAAAUUGCCAACCUGGGCAGCUGCAAUGACUCUAAACUGGAGUUCAGGAGUUUCUGGGAGCUGAUUGGAGAAGCGGCCAAGAGU
rnacentral:sRNA from 1 species